UUAGAUAGUGACUUUUACAUGUGGAUUCAAGAAAUUGAGGGAAGAUUUCAGAGGCUUGUGGGUAUGUUUUGUUUGAUUUGGGUUAAUUUGUUAUGUUAAUUUAAUUUGCGUGAUGAUAUUGUGGUUCAUCAUUUACUUUCGUUGAUGUACCUUAUUUUUUUUCUCUUGAAAAACAAAAUCUUGAUGAGGUUGUUCUUUAUUUUCUAAUUGCUAAAUUUACUGACGAAGAAAGCAAACAUCGGGAAAUUCGCCGUAAAUGUUAAUAGAUUACAAUUGUGUUAAUAUAUUACCUUAUAGCUUUUAUGAUGUUGAAAACUCACAAUUUACUGGGUUUUGAGUUGUACGCAUUAUUGAUGGUUGAAAGUAGAGCAAGUUGGCUUAAAUUUUAUGAAUUAGUAAAGAUAAAGAUAAAAUUUCUUUGAGUUUACAUUAUUUGAUUUAAUUUUUUAUUUUUAAUUCCUAACUUUAAACAUUGAUUAAUGACUGAUUUUGGAGGAAUUCGCCGCAAAUGUUUAGUUGGGUGCUUGGUAUUGAUUUAUGGGAAUUUACCUUGUUUUGGAUUUGAAUUUGGUUGAAACAGAUGACAGUUAGCAUUUGCAAUUACAAUGUGGUAGUAAUCCAUUAUUAUUGAUCUCAUCCAACGUAUUUCAUACUUCGUAUUUAGUCCAAUGUGUACACUUGGUGGGUCUAAGCAAUGGAAUAAGACACACUGGUUAUCCUCAAGAACAAUUAGUGUAGGUAAAGUUGGCUUAAACUUUAUGAAUGAGUAAAGAUAAAAAUAAACCAAGUAACUAGGUUUCCAUAAAGGUUUGUUUUGAUUUUGUAGUUGCUGCUUUGGUUAUGUUGAUUUAUUGUUGUUGUAUCAUUUAUACUAGGGCUUAAAUUUGAAUUCAGAUACUAGCAUUUGAAAGUUGUUAUUGCUUUUCUUCUUAGGUUUCUUUAACAGGUGCUGCAUGCUACAAAUUUACUACUACUACUACUACACUUCAGAAGUUUGGAAUUGACCAAACUACUUUUAUUCAUUUUGAGGUUUGUAAUAGAUACAUAUUCAACUCUUAAUUGGUAACUUGUGAAUAAUUGAAGCAUCAUAGGAAUUUAAAUAGUUUAUUGAAUGGUUUGAUUGUAGUCGUACUAUGGGAAAAAUUAAAAGGGGUCAUAUUACUCUUGACAACUUCUGGUUCUGUUCAUGUUAUGCCUUUUAAUAGCUUUUAUUAUGUUUUAAAGUUUACUGUGCAACUUUAGCUCAAGUAUUAGUUCCUUGUUUGGUUGAAGUGUUUCAUGAGUUUGACUUUUCUAGCUUAUGUGAGAAGGAUUAGUCUCUUGUUACAUAUUGUGGUCGUUAUCAUUAGAUUAACUGUAACUAUUAGUCUAUUUUUCCAUUUCUUUCUUAGCUUGCAAUGAUUUUACUUAGAACCUUGCAUUCUUUUCCAUUUAGAGUUCUUGUUAUGUUCUUACUUCUUCAAUUACACUUCCUUUGCCAUCUCUUCAAAGUCAUUUUUCAAAAUUAUUGGUGGGCGGGCUGCAUAGUGAGGAUGUCUGAGUUUCAUCUGUGAGUUAUUUGUGUAUAAUUAAAACUUUUAACACAUGUAAUUUUGCUUAUUUGUGGACUGAUGUGUUGUUUGUAUUUUUUUUAUUUACUAUAUAGCUCAAUUAAGAGAAUAUGACAAUAUUAUUAGAUAUUUUGAUGUGAUUUCUUAUAUUUAUUGUAGUUGUGGGUGUUGUCUCUUUCGUCUAAUGAUUUACUCUAAAAUAUAGUUUUUUUUAGUUUAGUGCACCGUAAUAUGAAGUUUGUGUCUUGAGGUACCAUUUGAGCAUCAUCGUGUUUGUCGGCUUUUGCUAAGUAAUCUAUUUGUGGUCAUGGCAUGCGGAGAGGGAGGAGCUGAGGAGGAGGCUACUACUGUAAAUUUUGGAUAGAGCCAUCUCAUUUUGAUCCAAGUAUACCACCCUUACAUACUGAUGUCAAUGAGAUACUGGAUCAUGAGCAUAACACCUUGGACCCUUUGACACCCAGAGCUGAAGCAACUGCAUUGUCAACAAGGAUACAUGGCCCAAACUACUCAGGAGCCAGAACACUACUCACCAUAGUAUAUCAAGGACAAGAAGAGGCAAAGAAUGACCAAUAGCCUAUUACAAAUGACUGGUGUAACAAGUAGUCAGUUAUCAAUGAGUAUUAGCUAUUCAGUAAUAGUUUAGCUCCUAGUUUUCUAAGUUUGUUAGGACCGUUUUAAAGAGUUUUUGAGGCGUGCCAUUAACUAUAAAAAGGCCCCUCCCUCUCACUUUGUAAACUUGGUUUUUGUUAAUAAAAUUUCAGAGGUAUUUUU